rnacentral:pre_miRNA from 1 species
UCGACAGAUUAUUUUAUUCGACUUUAUUCACGGCAUGAAAUAGGGGAUUAUACUAUUUUUAAAUGGAAAGUGAAUCAAUUAACAUAAUAGACUCCU